rnacentral:snRNA from 1 species
CGUUGGCUAAGUCCGUUC